AAUGAAAGUGAUAUUAUUGAAAUUGAGAGUGUGUUCUUCAAGCACCAAAGUGAACAAGAACUCAACAUAAUUACAUAACUUUAGAAAGUGAAACAUUGAACAUACAACUGUGAACUUAUUCAGGUUCCAACAUCAUUAUAGUAAAAACACAAGACAUCGAAAUUCGAUACAAAAUACAACAUUACGAUUGAAAAAGAAGUACAGUUUAUAGCACAACGCGGACGUUUUUUUGCAUUAGUCCUUCAACAUUUGCAGCUUGAAACCAUUUCAACUAUUUUCAUUGAUUUUUCACAUUGUAGGCUUCACAGUGAGACGAGAAGCGACCUUCUGACCACAGGACUUGUCAGCCUGAGACAAGUAUGAUAUCCAUAUGCUGCGAAUCUCAUGAGUGACUCGUGGAUCGGAUAAAGACUCAACCCAUUUGUUGAUGUAUCUGUCUUGCCUGUCAGGUUCCCAUGAUCUGUACCUCUCCCCUGCCUGUUUGAAGUUGUUUUCUUUCGGAAUGACACAAUUUGUACGCCUUCCAUUCAAGACACAAGAAGGAAUCGGGUACUGCUCAGCAGGACGACAAGGAUCAAACCUCGAGGGCAAAUAAUCCACCUCUUCAUCGCGAUGUGUCAUGUUCAUAGCACCAUCGCGAUGAUUGUUGUGAUGACCACACUUGGGAGCAUUAACUGGGAGCUGCAUAUAGUUUGGUCCAAUACGGUGUCUCUGAGUAUCAGCAUACGCGAAUAUCCUAGUCUGGAGAAGCUUAUCCUCGGAAUAGUAAAUACCAGGGACAAUAUGUCCAGGGUUAAACGCGAGUUGUUCAUUCUCUGCGAAGAAGUUAUCAAUGUUCCUGUUCAACACCAAUCGACCAACUGGGAUCAACGGCAAGAGAUCCUCAGGCCAUGUCUUGGUUACAUCCAGAGGAUCAAAAUCGAACUUGUCUACAUCCUCGGGGUCCAUUGUUUGGAUAAAAAGCUUCCACUCAGGAUAGUUUCCAGCAGCAAUUGAAUCGUAAAGAUCCUUGGUCGCGUGGCUAUGAUUAGUACCACCGACUCUAAUAGCUUCUUCCUCAGACAUACAUUUCACACCACAAGUUGGCUUCCAGUGGAACUUCACAUAAUGUGCUUUCCCCUCUUUGUUAAUCAAUUGAUACGCGUGAACGCCAAAACCUUCCAUGUGUCUGUAAUCCGUUGGGAGACAAACAUCAUCGUAGAAGAAGGCGAAUGUAUGCAAACUCUCAGGAAGGAACGAGAAGAAAUCAAGUAUCCUCCAGUUCUCCUGAAUGUGUGACUUUGGAUUUGGUUUCAAUGCACGAAUCGUGUCAGGGAACGACUUAGCAUCACGAUUAAAGAACACGGGGACAUUGUUUCCAACAAGAUCAAAGUUACCCUCUCUGGUG
rnacentral:misc_RNA from 1 species